CAGUUUCUGCCUGUUUUCACAUCUUUUCACUAGCUUGCUCCCGUCUCCACCAACUUCCUCCUGUCGUCGUACAGUGUCGCCCUCUUCGUCUAACACAAGACAUACAUCUUUCCUUGUCGCACACUGUCGCCCUUUUUGUGCAAUACAGCAUAUUGUAAUAUCGUAAGGUAGUUCGAAUUAGAAAUCGGUUGAAAAUAGAAAAACCGUGUACGUCGUCUUUCUGUGGUUCGUUUACAUUUUUUACAUUUAAGAGUGCCUAUGUGACUAAAGGCACGUAGUUGGUAGUUCUUACAUAGGUAUGAGGAAAACAAUAGACAACGUUAGAAGAAGGACGGUUUCGGUAUCCAAGGCGGGACGACCAAAAGAUCAGAGUGUGCGAGUCGAAAAGUGUGCGUGUUGCGAGUUAGAGCUAAUUGAGUUGUCGAAGAGUAGAGUCGUUAGAGGUAAUCGAGUCGUCGAAGAGUAGAGUCGUGAGAAUUGAUAGAGUUGUUAGAGAGAGAGAGUGUGUGUGUGUGUUAGAUUCGUUGUGACGAGAGUGGUCAAAUAACUGUAAAGUUAUUUACACAAUAUUAAUUUAAUUUCCACGAUAUUACAAUAUGUAUCCGUUUUUGUCGUACACUAAUGCGUAAGGGAAAUAACUACAACUUGAAGCAUGAUAGGUGGCAAAACAUGACUUGCUCGUAGUUAAGGAAUGCAAUAUUGUACGAUAAGCACAAACAUAUGCUCUCGUAUUAGACAGAAGAGCGACAGUGUACGAUAAGGUCAGAAGUACAAGCGGUUCUAGAUAGGGAGGACAAUAGUAUGUGACAAGGACAGAAUAUGAAUGGUUCUAAACACAGAAAGCACAGAAAUACUGUGCGACUAAAACAGAUGACACGAAUGGUGCUAGACAGAGAGAAUGAAUAAAGCAAUUUCUACAGGAAGACCUGAAGAAGAGGAACGUUGAUAGCGAGACCAAAUGGAUGGUUGUGAACAGGCGAAGAAGGAUUAGGAGUACAAUAGAUAAGGCAAAUGUUGAGGUGUAUGACAGCAAAGGAGAUAGGGAAGAGAGGAGAGAAAAACAAACUAGCAAAAGAAGUGAAGCAAUCCUGGUUAAGGUUGGUCAGGAUGCGAACUGGUUCGAAGCUUAUAAAGAAAUAGCGGGUGCCAAAGAUGCCCUGAAGGAAUCAACUGGUGUAAGGAAGACCAGGGCAGGGCACAUUUUAAUAGAAAUCAAUAACAAGGUGUCGGCGGAUGAGGUCGCGGAAAAGUUAAAGAAAGGAGUUGGAGAUCCUAUCUUUAGCGAAUAGAGAGACGCUAGAGAUAAGAAAUAUAGAUCCCAUCGUUACUAGGGAAGAAUUAACUGAGGACAUAGCCACCGAGCUGAAUAUAAGAGACGUAAGGUGGAUUACAAUUAAAGCAUUGAGAAUGGCACCUUGAGGAACCUAGCAGGCGGUGGUGGUUGUUCCAGGAAAUAGCGUUUCCCGGGAGAGAACCAGCGUUAGGAUUAGGACGGGAUCGACGAUGGUGAUAAGUAGAGUCAUUUCAAACAUCUUAAGAUGUUAUAGAUGCCACAUGCUGGGGCAUAACGCAGCGAGAUGUACGGCGAUAAGUCCAGGGAAGGAGCUAUGUCGGAGGUGCGGGGAGAGGGAUCACACCAUAAAUGAGUGUAAAAAUGAAUCAAGGUGUGUAAUAAAUGCGAGAGAAAAUAGAGCCAACCUUAGACACAUAACGGGAUCAUUGGCAUGCCCGGCGGUGAAGGAGAGGAUAAGAGGUGUAAUUAGACCCACAAGACCUACAAGAUAAAAAUAUUAAUAAUAAACCUUAAUAGGUGCAGAUUAGCGCAAGAUUUGAUGUAUCAAUAUGCCUGCGAAGCUAAAGUGGAUAUGGCUUUUAUUACAGAGCCAUACCAACAGCAGGCAUAUUGAUACAAUGAUGACAAAGGAGAUGCAUCGUUGUGGGUGACAUUGUUCAGAGGCAGCACCCGGACGAGAGUACCUUAAUGAUUAGGAACGGACUUGUUGGAAUUAGAAUCGAUGACGUGUACUGCAUUGGGGGGGGGGGGGGAGUUACUGUUCCCCCAAUAUUAGACUAGUAGUAUUUAUAAAUACUUCAGCGAUAUGGAGACCAUGAUCCGGAUAAUCAAGAAGAGCCAUCCCACAAUGAUGAUCGCCGGCGAUUUUAAUUCUAAUGUUAUCGCGUGGGGGGGGGGGGGGGGGGGUUAUAGAACUGAUCGAAGGGGCACGAGCCUUAUGGACAUGCUAACUAAGAAGGGUAUUGUACUACUCAGCAUGAGAGGUGGACACAGGUUCUGUAGGAAGGGUAGAAGGAGUUUUAUUGACGUAAUAAGUACGGACAAAGGACUGACUAGUAAAUACGCCGGGGGUAGAAUUCCGAAGGUGUGGACUACCUCGGACCAUAGCUAUGCUCUGCACGAUUUUGCGAUCGACAUACGAUUUGCCAAUUCAACGUAACAAAAGAGAGCCAUUUUUAAAAAAGUUAAUUACUGGGGAUGAAAGUUGGGUUCUCUACGACAACACUGCGCGCAAGUGAUCUUGGUCGAGUCGAGAUAAGUGUCCUCCAACGGUAGCAAGACCUGGACUUCAUCCCAAGAAGGUGCUGCUUUCAAUUUGUGAGACUGAAAGGGUAUCCUCUACUACGAAUUACUUCCGGAAGGGCAAACGAUCAGCAGUGAAAAAUAUUGCACCCAACUCGAAAAACUUAAGGAAGCCACUAUCACAAAACGUUUUGAAGUGGUGAACAGACGUGGCGUCGUGUUCCAGCACAAUAACGCGAGGCCACACGUUUCUUUAGCGGUGCGAACGAAACUUCUAGAUUUUGAUUAGGAUAUUUUACCACAUCCUGCAUACUCUCCAGACCUUGCACCAUCAAACUAUUAUUUAUUCCUCUCCCUAAAGAAUUUUCUUCGCUAUAGAAAAUUGAAAUCAGUAAACGAAGUGAAAAACGGCCUCGAAGAAUAUUUUAAAAGUAAGCCAAGAGAAUUUUGGAAACAUGGCAUUAUGAUGCUCCCGGAGAGAUGGCAAAAGAUGGUAGAAGAGAAAGGAUCAUACAUUAUUUAAGAAAGGAUUACUUUUGCUGCAACAUCAGGAAAUUGCAACAGGAGGCAUAGUGGUUUUUCGACCAUUCGCGGAGAGACACGAUCGCGAGAAAGCACGUCAACGGGAGUCGUAAAUUCCCGUUACGAUUAGAUAAUCAACGCCACGAAAUGACCGAUCCCCUGAUUUCUGUUAUGAUAAUAGGGGUGGUUCAAUUGAGCUUACGCUGAAUUAACAGGUAUAAAUUAAUGUUUAUUCCAACAACUUUGUAAAGAAGAUAAUUACACUGAGACGUAUGUACAAGUUAAAUAAAUGAUUGAUUUAAGGAUAGAAAACCGAUAAUGACAUGUUGUAAUUAGUUCUAAAUAAUUGUUACUAACUUUGUCUCAUUAUAUUCCUUGUUUUGAAAUUAUGUUUAAGGCUUACAAAUGUAUUUAUGUUGUAACAAAUAGCAUAAAUUAUUAGUUCCUAAAAUAUUGCAUGAAACGCUACUAUUAAUUUAUAUUAGUUUUAAAGAA